rnacentral:SRP_RNA from 1 species
GUGCAGAACAUUGGGAAUUGGGCCAGGACCGAGAGGAGCAGCGGCAGCAGUA